rnacentral:rRNA from 1 species
GCUUGUCCCCUAAAUAGGGACUGGAAUGAAUGGCUAAAUGAGGACUCAACUGUCUCUUGCAGCCCACCAAUGAAACUGAUCUCUUAGUCCAAAAGCUAAGAUCAACACACAAGACGAGAAGACCCUGUGGAGCUUAAAACCAACCCCAAAAUAAUGGGCCCUAGGUUUUCAGUUGGGGCGACUUCGGAGCAUAAACCCCCCUCCGAUACAACUCAUACCAAGAUGGACACAUCAAAAACACCAAGACCCAGUAGUUUUAAAAACAUACCUGAUCAAUGAACCAAGUUACCCCAGGGAUAACAGCGCCAUCCUCUCUUAGAGUCCCUAUCGACGAGAGGGCUUACGACCUCGAUGUUGGAUCAGGACAACCUAAUAGUGCAGCCGCUAUUAAGGGUUCGUUUGUUCAACGAUUAAUAGUCCUACGUGAUCUGAGUUCCAAAUCGAAC